CAAUAGCGUAUAUUAAAGUUGUUGCAGUUAAAAAGCUCGUAGUUGGAUCUCGGGUCCAGGCUUGUGGUGCAGCUUAGGCUGCUGACCGCUCGUCCUGACCUCCCUCCCGGUUUUCCCUUGGUGCUCUUAAGUGAGUGUCUUGGGUGGCCGGAACGUUUACUUUGAAAAAAUUAGAGUGCUCAAAGCAGGCUUUCGCCUGAAUAUUAGUGCAUGGAAUAAUUGAAUAGGACCUCGGUUCUAUUUUGUUGGUUUUCGGAACUCGAGGUAAUGAUUAAGAGGGACAGACGGGGGCAUUCGUAUUACGGUGUUAGAGGUGAAAUUCUUGGAUCGCCGUAAGACGAACUACUGCGAAAGCAUUUGCCAAGCAUGUUUUCAUUAG
rnacentral:rRNA from 1 species